rnacentral:rRNA from 1 species
AGUGAACGCUGGCGGUAGGCCUAACACAUGCAAGUCGAACGGCAGCACAGUAAGAGCUUGCUCUUACGGGUGGCGAGUGGCGGACGGGUGAGGAAUACAUCGGAAUCUACUUUUUCGUGGGGGAUAACGUAGGGAAACUUACGCUAAUACCGCAUACGACCUACGGGUGAAAGCAGUGGAUCUUCGGACCUUGCGCGAUUGAAUGAGCCGGUGUCGGAUUAGCUAGUUGGCGGGGUAAAGGCCCACCAAGGGGACGAUCCGUAGCCGGUCUGAGAGGAUGAUCAGCCACACUGGAACGGAGACGCGGUCCAGACUCCUACGGGAGGCAGCAGUGGGGAAUAUUGGACAAUGGGCGCAAGCCUGAUCCAGCCAUACCGCGUGGGUGAAGAAGGCCUUCGGGUUGUAAAGCCCUUUUGUUGGGAAAGAAAAGCAGCAGGUUAAUACCCCGCUGUUCUGACGGUACCCAAAGAAUAAGCACCGGCUAACUUCGUG